CCCAACUAUCCCUAUUAAUCAUUACCGUGGCCUCGGAAACCAACAAAAUAAGACCAAGGUCCUAUUCCAUUAUUCCAUGCUAAUCUAUUCGAGCGUGCGCCCGCUUUGAACACUCUAAUUUUUUCAAGGUAAACGUCCUGGCUCCCCGCAGACCGCCCCUCGCGGAGCGACCCACGGUUCCCCAGAAGGGAAGGACCGGCCCAUGAGCAGUGCGCACCGAAACGGUGGACCGCCCGGCCAGACCCGAAGUUCGACUACGAGCUUUUUAACUGCAACAACUUUAAUAUACGCUAUUGGAGCUGGAAUUACCGCGGCUGCUGGCACCAGACUUGCCCUCCAA
rnacentral:misc_RNA from 1 species